UACGUAGGGUGCAAGCGUUAUCCGGAAUUAUUGGGCAUAAAGAGCUCGUAGGCGGUUUGUCGCGUCUGCUGUGAAAACUGGAGGCUCAACCUCCAGCCUGCAGUGGGUACGGGCAAACUAGAGUGCGGUAGGGGAGAUUGGAAUUCCUGGUGUAGCGGUGGAAUGCGCAGAUAUCAGGAGGAACACCGAUGGCGAAGGCAGAUCUCUGGGCCGUAACUGACGCUGAGGAGCGAAAGCAUGGGGAGCGAACAGG
rnacentral:rRNA from 1 species